UAAACUGCUUUUGUACGGAACGAAAAGACUCUGGUUAAUACCUGGGGUCCAUGACGGUACCGUAAGAAUAAGCACCGGCUAACUACGUGCCAGCAGCCGCGGUAAUACGUAGGGUGCAAGCGUUAAUCGGAAUUACUGGGCGUAAAGCGUGCGCAGGCGGUUAUAUAAGACAGAUGUGAAAUCCCCGGGCUCAACCUGGGAACUGCAUUUGUGACUGUAUAGCUAGAGUACGGCAGAGGGGAUGGAAAUUCCGCGUGUAGCAGUGAAAUGCGUAGAUAUGCGGAGNNACACNGAUGGCGANNGCANNCCCNNGGNCUGUACUGACGCUCAUGCACGAAAGCGUGGGAGCAAACAGGAUUAGAUACCCUGGUAGUCCACGCCCUAAAUCCACNUNAGCUNGUUCGNUNGACCUUNGNUGUCGUGGAGUAGCGGCAGCUAACGCACUNAAGUAGACCGCCUGGGGGAGUACGGUCGCAAGAUUUAAAACUCAAAUUGAAAUUGACGGGGGCCCGCACAAGCGGUGGANGCAUGUUGGUUUUAAUUCGAUGCAAACGCGAAAAAACCUUACCCACCUUUGACAUGUACGGAAUCCUUUAGAGAUAGAGGAGUGCUCGAAAGAGAGCCGUAACACAGGUGCUGCAUGGCUGUCGCCAGCUCGUGUCGUGAGAUGUUGGGUUAAGUCCCGCAACGAGCGCAACCCUUGCCAUUAGUUGCUACGAAAGGGCACUCUAAUGGGACUGCCGGUGACAAACCGGAGGAAGGUGGGGAUGACGUCAAGUCCUCAUGGCCCUUAUAGGUGGGGCUACACACGUCAUACAAUGGCUGGUACAGAGGGUUGCCAACCCGCGAGGGGGAGCUAAUCCCAUAAAGCCAGUCGUAGUCCGGAUCGCAGUCUGCAACUCGACUGCGUGAAGUCAGAAUCGCUAGUAAUCGCGGAUCAGAAUGUCGCGGUGAAUACGUUCCCGGGUCUUGUACACACCGCCCGUCACACCAUGGGAGCGGGUUCUGCCAGAAGUAGGUAGCCUAACCGUAAGGANGGNG
rnacentral:rRNA from 1 species